rnacentral:lncRNA from 10 species
CACAGGCUGUCAUUUGAGGAACUUGUCACAACCCUUUGUUUCCUAUCUUGUUUUGGGAGGAUACUUCUGUUCCCUUGGAUUGGACCAUGUCCAGUUCUCACCCUUAAGGCCUUUCCUUGUCUUAGUCAAUUUAACUCCUCUGCUCUGUAAUCCUUGGAUUACAAAACAAGUUGUUUCUCCUUUCCAGGGACAAGAGGAGCUUCCCUAUUGUUCUUAAUUCUUAGGGCAGAGAAAAAGGCACAAUCAUAUUAACUUGUAGCAGACGAGAAGGAAUUGGGUAGAUUAGUGAAAUCCUUUAUUCCUGCUGAUUUUUUUUUCUUUUUAAGACGAGGUCUUGCUCUUUUAUUCAGGCUGGAGUGCAGUGGUGUGAGCACAGCUCACUGCAGCCUCAAACUCCUGGGCUCAAGUGCUGCUCCUGCCUCAGCCUCCUGCAAAGCUGGAACUACAGAGGCAGCACUCAAGCUCUGAUUCUCACUGUUGCCCAGCGUCAGUUGUUUAGCAGACAUGAUUUAGAUUGCUACAACCCGUUUAUACGUGAUCAUUUAACACACGGGUGUUAAGUUCAUUCUUGCUGCAAAAGAAGGCCAUUGUACCUCCUGACCCUGAAAGCAAGGGACACUGGAUUUUGUGGAUGCUCCUUGGACACACUGGAAUGCACCUUGGGCAGCCCGUGGAUCAUUUUCCCCAGUAUGAAGCAUGGGAGGAGCUGGAAAAUGAACUCAUGAGCCAGUUGAGCCAGCACAACAAGCUGGAGCCAGGAUAUGCAGCUGGGAGCGAGUGUCCAGCCAACAGCCCGUGUCUCAGGCCCUGCCAGGGGAUGAAUCAAUUAGCAAGAGAAGCAAUGAUGCAAAUGCUCCGGGGUCACUUGGGAUGCUGUUUGCCUUUUUGAUAGAGAAAGCACACCAUAAAUAACAUCACACCUCAGGAAAUCAUUCCAGGAGGCCCCGAUGCUGGCAGGGCUGCUGCCAGGGACGGAAGGAAUCGUUUGCUCAUUGUGUGUAUUUCCCCCAGCUCAGUCAAUGGGAGAUUUGUAGUAAAAUCAAAGUAUUUAAAAGGAGGACAGUAUGUGGUAACAGAGGCAUGUUUAGCAAUUUUUUUAGUACCAGAACCUGUGAUUUAUGACCCAGAGUUACAGCCAACUUUAUUACAAAAAUGACUUCACCCAUAAUAACCUUAUUCAGGGCCCUCUGAUGAAUGAUGUAGUAUCCAACAGCAUUAUAAUCUAGUAAAUAUUCAAACACAAUUCCCGCCUCCGCCUCAUUUCCAACCAACCCCUCAGAAGCAGGCUUCCCCCUUUACCUGCUGGGAGAAGUGGGGUCCUGGGUAAGGCUUUGUGCUCUGUCUGUGGGAGUUUGCCUGGAUCAGGCAUUUAUACUAAGCCAGGACAGAAAGUGACCUCCUGGGGUCUCAGUCAUAUCUUGUCCAACCUUGUCCCCUGAGGAGUAAUGAGCAGAAGACACCCACUCACCCUUCAUUUCCUCUCUGUGCUGAAACUUAUUUCCUCCCUGCAUUCCCCCACUCCUCCAGAGCUCAGAUCCCCACCACCUGAAAGGAGCUCCAGUAAGCUCCCUGACAUUUUUAAUUGCCAUGGUAACUGAGGGCUGCACUAAAACCGCCAGGGCUGGGUGUCCAAGCAGGGUCCCCUGGGCGUACCGGGAUCUAGAAACUAGCCCUCCAUCUUAUUAAACUCCGGUGUCAGUUCCUAGCAAUUGUUUUAAAUUUACACCCUCAGAGUGGCUUAGUGGGAUUACAUGUCCAUUUGCAUUAAAACAGUUUUCUGUCAUUAAACUGCCAUACAAUAAGCUUCCUUGGGACAAAUUAAUGAGCUCUAAAUAUCAUCAAGUAGAAGUUCACUUCAAGACAGGCAACAAGGAGGGGGGUCGGAAGGAAGUGGCUGCUCAGAAUCUCAUGGCCCAGGAGAACGAUAAGUGCCAACUAAAGAAGGGUCUUGUCCUGUUUCUUCACUGCACGAUAAGUGGUCCUGAUUUAGAGCUGAAUGGGGAGAUUUGGCAAUAUUCUCCCUGUUCGCCAAAAUCCUAUAGCUCAUCUUCUAUUCCUUCUUCCAAAUAUGACUUUACCCUUGACUUUGCUGAAAUUUGCUGAUGAAACACUGACCUCUUGUCUCAGUGACAAUGUCUCAGCCUCAUUUUCUUUGUCCUGUAGUUUCUCUGUCCUUGAGGAACUUGCGUGCAUCCACGUGGCCUGGGAACAACACGCACACAACGCAGCACUAUGUGUAGCUUGAACAAGUGCUCCCUAACUUUGUUAGUUCCCACACACUUUGCUAAAAUGCAUGUAUGAUUGCUACUGAACUGUCUGGGUCCUCAGACCUUAUCGGGACCCUGGAACACGAGUCCUGAUCAGGAGCACCUUUCAUGGUCAUCAGGAGCAGAAUAGGAACAGGGAACAGUUUAGCUUCUAAGACUGAAUUUGUCCUGCUCACAAGAAUCACCAGAGCUUGUCCUCACAAAUACAUAUGUGUGUCUAAGUAGAAAUUUUUCAUUAACACCAAAUAAACCCCCAAACCUUCCCUUAUGUAAAGGAAAUAAGACUGGCUGCUAGACAGACUUCUUGAUCCACAGAGGCUGUGAUCUCAUUUCUGUGUAGCCUUAACAGGGGACAGUAAUGUAUGAUUGAGACACUGCUAUAUUUAGGAAUGACAAGAUGAACAUUAUUAAUAGCUUAAUUGACAUUAAGGCAAUUACCCCUACCCUUAUUACAGUUUGUAGAAUUACACAGAAAAUAUUGGCUGGGGCCUUUUUUUCCCUAGAGCUACCCAAGGAUACAGCAUUUUAUUUCAUGCCAGAUCCCAGCUUUGACAUUAGAUACUUAGCCAUAGAAUGAUUCCAGUAAAUCAUUAUAAAUGCAUUAUAAUAAAGAUGUUAUGAGCUAUCAGAUAUUAACCCCCAACCCCUAAAGAGAGAUAAAUAGUCCAGUUGCAUGAUUCCCACUUUUGUUUCAUAAGAAAUAAGCUUUUGCAAAGAGCAACUGACUAAUGAAUUAUAAAAUGGUGUGUUGAGCUCAGAUAAUUAAACAAUGCAUUUUAGUGUCUAGUGCAGGAUGAACACUAAAUCAUACACAAAUAAAAAAGGUAAAAAUCUGAGCCCCAUGCCUAACUCCUAUUUUUGAAUAACAUUAAUGUUGGUCUACAGUCCAAAAAUGCUUCAACUAUUUUCUUAUCUGAUUAGAGAGGCAUAUCAAGUAUAAGAUCAAGGCACAGUAGGCAAACUAAACCAACAGUCAGAACAAAAACUGUGAAGGUGCUAAUUUCAGAUAAGCCCACAAGGUUAUUUUAAUGGAGAUUUUACAUGGAGAUUGCUUUUUCCCCCAAAGUGUUAAUGGGACAAAAGUCUAGAAGGACCUGGAAGUUUUCAGGUUUCCUUAUACUUUAUAUUUUCUCUGAACUCAUAAUAAAGCAUAUUAGUGGGAAUGGGAUCUAUGCUAUUGGUGGUGGUCUUAGCCUUAUAGUGUUGGAAAGAUGAAUACACAUCCUAAAAUCUUCUCUAGGUUGUGGAGGUGCAGGGAUGAGGAGGGGUUGGUUUGGGUUUCAACCAUUAUCCUCCCCAGGUGGUGGUAUCCUGCCCAGCAGGGCUUCAUCUAGUGGUCAACCAUGGAACACCAUGACAUUUUCACCAGUGGCCCUCAGACAGGGCUGGUUUGCCAUUGGCUGCCAUUUCCUGGCAUGUCGUAGAUUUGCUGCGUGAUUUGAAGCUGUGCUUCAGCACAUCCUGAAUGUGUUUUUUAGUCUUUCAGUAUCUCAAAGACAUGGUGUCCGCCUCAAGGUAGUCUCCUAUUUCUUCGUCAAAUAGCACAUCAUUAAGGACUGUGUGGCCAAAAUUACAGAUGGUCUUGGACUCUGUAUGGGCAAUGACCACCUGUGCUGGUAAUCGAGGCUUCCCUGGAACACCUGGGAACAUACCACACAGCCAGUCCUCUCCUGUGCUCCAGUCAAGCUUAACCUCACAGCCCGAUACUCCCUCCACUUCCCUAGCUCCAUGUGUUAGCCACUGCAGGUUAAUUGAUCUAAGGCUUAUUUUCUUCAAAUAUAAAAUGAAGAUAAUAAUGCCUACCCAGAGGGUCAUGUGAACAUUAAAUGAGAUCAAUUAUGUAAAGAUCUAUCUAUGCAGUGCCUUUCACAGAGUAUGCCCACAAAUAAAUGUUACCUGUUUCAUUUUAGUUAUCUAUGUUUAGCUAUCUUUGUGUUUUUUCUAUCCUGCUUCUUCUCGCUCCACUAUACUCUUACAUCCUAAUUCUCUCUCUCUCUCAUACACACAUACUUUGCUGUGUCUAGCACAGUGCUUUGCUUGUGGCUCACACUCUACAUGCUUGUUACCCUGAACUAUUAACAAAAGCAGCUGCUAGUAACAGUUAAUGUUUUCUGACCACCUACAUGAGCCAGGCACUAUGCUAAGUAUCAUCACUUCCUUUAAUUCUCACAAGCUUAUGAGACAAAUACUAUUUUAAUUCUCAUCUAUCGGAAAUUAAAGAUUAAAGAUGUUCUAUAACUUGCCCAAGGUCACACAAGCUCUUAAGUGGAUAGUCAAGAUCCAAACUCAGAACCGGCCUGGAUUUGAAAUCUCAGUUCUUAACUAUCACUGUGUCAGACUGAUUUUGUUAGCUUUUUCCUCCUUUAGACUGGGCCCUAUCAAGGGAUCAGAGAUAAGCAUGUACCCACUCUCAGAUGAGUGAUCCCACGACCUCAAGUUUUGAAGUUCCAGGAAGUCCAGAAGUGUAUGCUAACUCUAGUUUAUAGCUGUUCAAAAGUCACUUGUCUAAAAACUUCAGGGACAUUAUGUAAAACCAUCCAAAAAACAUUAUUGCACACCCCAUAAAGUUAAUUUCACUUUGCAAGAAUGUGUUUGAGGGAGGUGAUGCACUUGGCUAUGUAUUCAGGUUGGUGGCCACAAUAUAUGGAGCUGUGCUGUCAUCCUUGACACUCUGGCUUACUGGCAGCCUCGCUCCAACACACUGUCACAGGCGAGGGAUGGCCUCCCAGUCUUGACUCAGAACACUUAAGCUUCCUAAUGGUCCAAGUCUCACAAACCACACACCUCCCUUAAUUAAAAAAGUAAAUUAAAAGGAGUAUUUCAACUUAGGGAUGAAUUAUCUUAGUAAUUUAAGAUUGACAUUUUAUUGGAUAAAAGGACAUGUAUGAGUUUAUUUUAAAAUACUGCCUUCAUGAACAAGAGACCACAGAAAAGAUUAUCCUGAGGUUGCAAGGCGUUUGUAGAGCCAGAGGACACCCUUGCAAAACAGCCACUGUGAGAGGCCAGUUGCUGCAAAUCACAGGUCAGCCACUUCUACACUUGUCCUUCAAGCACAUCAGCCGGACAUUUGGAGUUUUCUAUAGUCUUCAUUUCAAACUCGAUCAUCCUGAGUGUUGUGGUGGACACUACUAGUGUCACAAAGAGUCCAGCACCCUCUCCUUCCAGGUAUAUAAACGGUGCAUUGCUGGGCUCCUUUGCAGUUGGAUAGGUCAGGUAAUUUGUCUGUUGUGAAGAGUUACUAUGUUUCACUUCUAAGCCGAAGCAUUUGAUUGUCAAUGGAAUACCCUCCAGCUCUCUCCUUCCCUGCAGAAGUAAUCUUGGAAGCAUGUGUUGAGAUGACAGAGUUCCCAAUAGCCUAGAUUCCUGAAUGACUUAGUGGAGCUGAGUCCUCCACAGGUCCAUGUUGGACAUGCACAAUCAGUGAGAAUAAACUUUUGUUGGAUUAAGUCACCGAUGUUUGGAGACUGUUCAUUACCACAACAAAAUGUAGCCAAAUCCCGACUAAUCCAGGAAUUAACCUUUUGUUCAGAAAAUACAGCCCUUCUAAGUCAUAAACCCAUAUUCUCUUUCCAAUAGCUUAUUAAAUGGUUUAUGUAUUUUCCAUCUUUUUGAUAUACUCUCAGAUGCCUAAAAUUACCACAGUGACCUUGGAUUGGACAAGGUAGUUGUUUGUCUUUUAGCCAUUAAUAAAUAUUGCUACUGUGGAAUGAGUGAGGGAAACAGAAGAAGACAAGGUUGGCCUUUUGAAAAUAAUAUGGCAUCAUGUAACGAUGAAAAAGAGAAAAAAUACAGAAAAAAGAGAAAACAAGAGAAAAAUGAAAAACAAGUCUAUAAGAGAGAAAAGUAGAGAAAAACAAAACAAUAGAAAUGCUGGGCAAUUUGUUUCAGAUUCACUAUAACCAACUGCUUGUUGUUGGGUUCUGCUCUAGAAGGCAUCUCUCAGGAUGCCUUUGACCCUCAGCACCUUUUUGUGUAUGUGCCUAGCAUACUGAGGUGCUCAAUAAAUGUUGAUUGAAAGGGUAAAUAAAGGAAUAAAUUUCCAUUUUAUAAUCUUGGAAGCAUAUAUUACUUUAAACGGCCUAUGACUAUGAAUGGACAUUCCAUUGCACAUUGAAAGGCAGUACAACAAGUGAGAAGGGAAGUAGAAAUAUAUGAGUUUGAAUAGCUCUUCAUAACCUUUAAACCUGAGUCCUUGCAAAGAGCAACUAUGAGGUCAGAGCAAUAAUUCUUUGUCCUAAAAACAGGACACCACUGAUAACUCAGAGCCGUCUGUUGAAGAAAGUGUUUCAAAUAAACUGGUUAGCAAUGCCCUUGUUUUGUUUGCCUCUGGAUGGGAAGAACUAGGAGUGCAAUCAGCACCGAGGUGUCUAUAGUCUUGAUGUGGUGGGAGAUGAAAGUAGGGGAACUGAAUAAUGUAUUUUUUCAAAACCUUGAAUGGAGCGAGAAAUACUGAUAAAAAGGAAGAGUUGUGAGUCAUUCUUCUGCUGAUGCCAACUGGGAAGCUCCAGUAGUAUAUUCCCCUGGUGAUGAAGUAAUUCACUUUUUCUGAGAUUAACAUUCUGUAGUAAGGCUGUUCCUCAUACAAGGUUGCUCACAGGUAAAGUUAAUAAAAGGCAGAGUCUAAGAAUUCAUAAGGAAGUUUGCCUUUCCAUGGGGAGAAAGCAUGCAAUCAGGGUCUCUAGUCUGUGUGCACACGUGUGUGUGCGCGUGUGUGUGUGCGCGCGCGCACUCAUAUGCACAGCUCAGAUGUCCAGGACUUGAGAUGAGAAUGGAAAGCACCGAAUAAGAAGAAAGCUGCCACACAGUAGGCUGAAGGAGAAUGACUACAACCUUUAGGCUGAAAAAAAAAAAACACUACAUGCUGGCGUGUAUCCUUGUGGAUAUGUGGAAACACAACAAAAAUAUUGGUCCAUCCUGGCUGCAGUUUUAAAGGAAAGGAAGAUCUCCUGGCAUCAACAUCUCUUGGAGAUGAACACACUAUACAUGCAAGUUCAAAUCUAUCAUCUUCCACCAGUCAACCCAAGCUACAUUCCCCUUCCAUUUAUUAUCAAAGGAAUAAGCACUUUUGUUUCCCAGGCUUAACUCCUCAAAAUCAUGAGCUUUUCUUCCCUACCUUUCCCUUCAUUCGAACUCUUUCCUUUCAAAAUGUUUAUAGAAUUCAUUCUUAUCCUCUCCCUGCCUGGGGGGUUUAUCUAGCUAGUCUAAAUUCUAGAUCAUUGCCUUUCUAUAGGAAAUAUAAAACACACAAAUAAUGAAAUACCCAUAAUCCAAGGCAGAAAUCAUGAGUGUUAUAGUAACAAUGGCCUCAAGAGCUAGACUGCCCAGGCAGCUCAUAUU